ACAAUGGAGAGUUUGAUCCUGGCUCAGGAUGAACGCUAGCGGCAGGCUUAAUACAUGCAAGUCGAACGGGAUUCGGUGUAGCAAUACAUUGAUGAGAGUGGCGCACGGGUGCGUAACGCGUAUGCAACCUACCUUUAACAGGUGAAUAGCCCCGAGAAAUCGGGAUUAAUACACCGUAACAUUGCGGGAUGGCAUCAUUCUGCAAUUAAAGAUUUAUCGGUUAAAGAUGGGCAUGCGUGACAUUAGCUAGUUGGUGAGGUAACGGCUCACCAAGGC
rnacentral:rRNA from 1 species